rnacentral:rRNA from 1 species
GACGAACGCUGGCGGCGUGGAUUAGGCAUGCAAGUCGAACGGUAUCAUCCUUUCGGGGGUGAGAGAGUGGCGAACUGGUGAGUAACACGUAGGUUAUCUACCCUCAAGACGGGGACAACCCAGGGAAACUUGGGCUAAUACCGGAUGUGAGCAACUUUUAGUUGUUUGAAAGGUGGCGUAAGCUGUCGCUUGGGGAUGAGCCUGCGUCCUAUUAGUUAGUUGGUGAGGUAACGGCUCACCUAGGCAAUGAUAGGUAGGCGGCCUUAACGGGUGGUCGCCCACACUGGGAUUGAGAUACGGCCCAGACUCCUACGGGAGGCAGCAGUCGAGAGUAGUCUACAAUGGUCGGAAGACUGAUAGUGCGACGCCGCGUGAACGAUGAAUCCCUUCGGGGUGUAAAGUUCUUUUAUAUGUGAGCAGUGCUUCUUAUAUUAACAGUAUGGGGAGAGAGAUAUUAGCAUAUGAAUAAGCAACGGCUAACUCCGUGCCAGCAGCCGCGGUAAA